UCUCCCCUCUCAUCUCAUCUUCUUGCGCCACUGCAGGCACAUAAGCAUAAGGGACGCCGCUGCAGGGACCAUGGGGGUGGGCGAAGGUCCGCCAUCGUGGGCCUGCUCGUCCACCGACAUUGGGACACCGGUGAUCAUUCGUGGGUGCUUGGCCGGGCGUGUGGUGCAUGCCAGAAGAAUUGUGGUGUGCGCGGGUUCGUAGUACCCUUGGAGUUCGUCGCCGGUAAUCGGGCGUAUUCCACCAUCCACACCUUCCCGCGGCUGGCUAUAUCCCCGCCGUUUCUGUCUGAAAGGUACCCCGUCAUGUGUCCGCAUUCUCCUCCUCUACAUGUAGCUCGUUUGGCACUCGAGUAGUUUGCACGGAGUUCGAAUUUGGGGAAUUCCGGUGAUAGCUCCGCCGUUGGCAGGGACGUUAGGCUGUACGACCAUGAUGAAAUCCCAUUGUUGUUGUUCCCGUUUAUAUCUACCUCAUGUAGCACGUGUUAGAAGGAGUGGUUGAGCGCCAGAACACCAGUUCAGUGAUCGCCGGUGGGGGGGGGGGGCUCCACCGGAUAGAGCGCGGCGCCGCCGCCUGGCGUCGUUGGGAGGAAGAAAUGCGUGCGUCGCAGAUCCACGAAGGAACGGUGGAGAUUAGAUCGUCACCUACCCCUUUCACGCAACCAACCACGACCGUUGAUUGGAGAUUGUGCGGACAGGAUCAGAUCUCGGUGUUUUAUAUCGGGUGCGUUGAUGCAGGAUCCAAUGGUAGCGAUUGAGUACCGGUUCAGAUGGAUUAGAUCUAAUUUGAUCCGUUGGAUCUAGAUCAGAGGGUAUGCGUAGCGUACCGAUUCAGUGUGGUGGCCGAUCUAAUCUGGGUCGUCCAGUGAGGAUCCGAUGACCAGAUUUCUUGCGUACCCCUUCGCAGGUACAUCUUACUAAAGAGCCCCUGAUGAAUUAGGCAAUAAAUCCGCAGUACCCCUCACUGUGUUCUGAGUCUGUGGGGUUUUGCAGAUUAAACCCCCGACUCUCUGGAUUUUGAUGCGUGGCCCGAGAAUAAGGAAACCAGAUAAAUAAUAUCAGAAAUUGAUUUUCAACACAAAAAUAAUUAAAGAAACUUGUAAAAUUUAUAUAAAAUUCAUUUUAGCUCCUUCCAGUUCCUAUAAUUUUUUAAUAUUAUUGUUUAUCAGUUAGUACCACUGUUUUGACAUGAAAGUCACAUUAAAAUUUAUAUCCCAUUUAAUCUUGUACAAAACACAUGGAAUCUUUAGAAAUUCAUAAAUUAAAAUCUAUAACUCCGAUUUUAGUUGUUCUCGAACCCGCGAUCUCGUAUCUUCGCGUAUAUCAUUUUUAUUUAGUUUGUACUUAUGUUUGGUGUGAUGUUAAUUUUAUCUAUACCAUGUUUGUUUGUAUUGCUACGACUAGCAGUGAGGUCACGAGGAUCUGAAGAAUCAUCCUGAUACCUAGAAUCUCAAGUGCCAGGCAAGUUGUGCCCUUGAUCACUUCUUUUUACCCAGUCAUGUUCUGAUUAAUCAUAAUGAUCUGCAUAGGUUAAUUUUGAUGGGACCCAACAGGUUACCCUAGUUUGACUAUCUUUAUACCUUGUUUACCACUGAAUUCUUGGGUAGUACCUGCUAUUGCUUUAUGUGGUUUUGGGUAUAGAGCUACAUAUUAUUCAUGAUUAUAUUUUGUUAUCAGUUGUUAUUUACUGUUAAUGUUAAGAUUAUUAUGUUAAUUGGAACAUAAAGAACCACACGGGAAAACAGUGCUACCACAAGGGUGGUAUGGGACACCCUUGGCUGACUAAUUAGGAAAGCUAGUGGAGGACUACCUUACCCGAAAGGGGCAAGGGCAGUAGGGGAGUGGUCAGUGUAGGGAGGUCCUUGGGUUGAUUUUGCUGCGAUGGUGGUCAGGCGAGGGAUCCCUGCAUUGGAGCUUCCUAGAAACUAUAGCGGGUUUUCUGAAGCUAGUGGAACUUUGUAAAGGCCUCGUAGUGUUACUCUGCCUUGCCUCCUCGGUAGAGGUGUAUGGGAGUGGUCUUCUCUUCGCAGAUGGGUAACAUGACUUGUGGGUAACGAUGCACAACCUCUGCAGAGUGUAAAACCGGUAUACUAGUCGUGCUUACGGUCAUGAGCAGCUCAAACACUCACAUGAUUAAUUUAUGGAACUAAAUGCAAUUUUUCAUAUGCAUUGCAUCACAGGUGAUGUUGUUACUUUUAUUCUACUACUUAAUUGGGUUGGUAUUUACUUAUACUUAGUAACUGCAAAUAAAAUUUUGACCAAAUUUAAAAGCAAUGCUCAACUCUAACCACCCUCUUUGGUAAGCCUUACACUUAACAUGAGCUUCCACCUUUGGCGAGUUCAUGCACAUUAUUCCCCACAACUUGUUGAGCUAUGAACGUAUGUGAGCUCACUCUUGCUGUCUCACACCCCCCACAGCGCAUGGAGGAUGCUGUGACGAGUUCGUGAGAGGUCUAGGCCGUCGUCUCCCAGUCAACUUUGGGUUGCUGGACCGUUGUCUCCUUAUAAUGUAAUUUAUUUAUUUAUUUUGUACAGAACUCAUAUUAUAUAGU
rnacentral:lncRNA from 1 species